AGUAGAUCUUUCCACUCCUUGCACUAGUUCGUGUGUACUAAUAUCAUAAACUACUGGGGCUGAAUUAAAACUGGUUUACACCUGAAAGGGCAAAUAAAAUAUGCUUUAAAAACAAGAAAGAACCAAAACUGAUUGUAGAAUCAAUUUGGAAGCCUGUCGAUGACUCUCCUUCAACACGAAUUCCACUGUGCAAGCGCGGGCUUUCUACUUGCAAUUACGUGCAAAAUUGGCUUAUUUGAUGCGUUUGGUAGGGAUGUGGUUAAAGGAAAUCAAAUCAGUUGUUCAGGAGUAAUGGAGCGUGUUUAUGUUGAUGACAGGUGUUCCAGAAGUAUUCAGUAAUUUCUUGUUACCAAAAUAUGAAAUCAAAUCAGUGCUACUGUUCCUCGAGGCUCUAGUACACAAAGAAGAAUUAAAGGUUUGGUCAGGAUUUUGACUGGUCAAGACUGAUCAGGGGAAGAUAAUGUGGUAAGAGAAGUGAAUGGAGUAUGCCAUUGGGUUACUAUCAGAUAUUUGCGUCCUAAAGAAGCAUAAUAUUGGCAUGGUUGAGAAGCUAGGAACUGCCAAAGGUGCUAUCUCAGCAUUAAUUACAUCGCAGAAUUGUGGCGGUUUGGGGGAUUUGUUGUUGUUGCUUCAAUGAACAAAGAAAAGAAUAUCCCUAAGGACGAUAAAAGUUUACUUGGUAAGUUUGUUGUGCUUCUGAGGGAAAGCAGAAUGUCAUUUGUCUUGAGUGUUAAUUGAACUGUUCUGGCAAGAAUGGACAUGCUAUUAGUUCAGAAAUUCUUCAGUGCGUAUAUUAAAUGUUUGACGAGUAGUUUGACUUCAGUCUACAUACAGAAAAUCAGUAGUAGAUGAAUAGUUCGGGAUACAAUACAUAUAGCCUAGAGUAAAAUGAUGGGUAUGCUAUAUCUGCCCUGUUAGUACCAUCUUCAGAUUGCUAUUUGAGUCUUAAUCCAUUUGCCUUUUCAAAGCUAUUCUGUUUCUGAGAGUUGUGUCCUUCUUCACAUUUGGCAAUUUCAUCUUGGUACCUAUUUUCGCAAGUUUCUCCAACCAAGUCUACUGCUUUUUGUGAUUCUCUUUCCCAAUCUGUCUUGCUUAUCACUGUCAGGAUAGAGACCAUGCAUGCCACUUGAGCUGCUAAAAGCCCAUAACACAGGCCCAAAAACCCUUGUCCCCAAAAAAAGGCUAAUGCUAUGGCUACUGGUGUUCCCAUCAAAUAGAAGGAGUAGAAAUUAAUACCUGCAGCAGUACAGGGCCUAGCAGUUCCUCUGAGCACCCCACAGCAUGUUGUUUGUGGACAAUUGGCCAGCUCACACAGUCCAAUUAUGGGUAGUGUGGCCAGUGUUAGCUCUAGGACUUCAGUGUCUUUUGUAAAUAUCCUCCCCCAUGCUUCUCUCCCUAUGGUAGUCAAUAAGAAGCCAAAAACUGAGGUUAUAAAGGCCAAGCCUAUGGCAACCACUGUUGCCAAACGUGCCUUGUAUGGUCUGCCUGCUCCGAGUUCAUUGCCUACUCUCGUUGAGAUUGAUGCACUCAGUGCUGAAGGCAGUGUGUACAUGAGAGAUGUGGUUUGUAUGACUAUAGCUGAUGUUGCAAGAGCAACUUGAGGUCUUUCAAGAUAGCCAGCUAAAAGUGUCAUUAUCUCGUACCACCACCAUUCUAAGCAAACUGCCAGACAACUUGGUAGGGAAAGUCGAAGUAGCAUUCUCCAGUCUUCCCCUAACGAAGUUGAAUUUGAUUUGGGUGCUAGGGGUUUAGACAAUGCCUCACUUGGUGCAUAAGUGUAGUAAAGUAGGUAAGCAAGUAGGAAGAAUAAGGUGUUAAAGUUGGUAACAUAGAUCGAAAUUGCAAUUCCCUGAAUUCCGAGAUGAAGAUUGAAGGUUAAGAAGGUGGUGAUUGGGAGGUGAAGAAUUAUGGCAAGCAAAGUGCACCAUAGGAGUGGCCAUGUAAUACCCUUGCUUCGUGAGUAGAUGCGUAUAGGAUGAAGGAGGCUAUUAGCAAUAAGAUCCGGGAUUGCAAACCGGCAGUAGAUGCUUGAAAUAUCUACUACCUCUGGGUCUUGGUGGAGACGUAACAUCAGAGGCUUGAGAUUGAUCCAUAACAACCCAAUAGGCAAGGAUGCAACAAGUAGCAUAAGAAUUGUUCUUCGUAGAAUGAGAGACGCAAUGCUUGUAUUUCUUGAGCCAAAAGCUUGGCUACAUAGUGGCUCCAUUCCCAUGGCUAGACCAGAUAGUACAGAGUAACCAGUGAUGUUGGUGAAGCCAAUAGCUAGUGCUCCACCUGCUAGCUCGAGGCUCCCUAGCCUUCCCAUGCAUGUCACUGAAAUCAUGUUUUUCAGGUAGCCAGCCAAGCCGAUUGCAAAUAUGGGAAAACUUAUGUCUUUCAUUUUCUUUAGUUCCUCAAUUACCUGGCAAAACAAGGAAAAAGAGGCAUGUCAGUGUAAUUUCUUUAGCCAUUUUAUUUGAUAUGCUGGAAGUUUUUGAGAUUUAGCAAAUUGUACCUCUGAAACUGUCGGGCUCUUUUUGGUUUGCUCGGCUUCCAUCUGAUUCCUUUUUGUGUAUUCUCCUUGUUUGCUUGACUUUUGAUAGGUCAGGAAGAUGAAGUCUGAUGCAGUAAAGGAUUAGAAUCAAGGAAUAUUGACUAGAGAAGAUGCUAUUUUCUACCAUGCAACCAACAGAUGUGCAUGCUCACACAGACGCACAACAGAGACAGGAACACACUGUCUUAUACACGCACAAAAUGAGGCUCGUGUCCAAAAGGAUAAAGAGGGGGGCGCUAUAUAGUGCAGGGGGCGAUGAUCACUUUUUGAGAUAUUAGUGAGAGUUCUCAAUCUGGGGACUGGAGAGUAGUAGAGUUGUGUAAUAGAGCACUGUUAAACGUGUUAUUCCCUUGUGUGAUUAAAAAAGAGGUUCCCACA